GGGCACGACACCGGAGAGGGAGCCUGAGAAACGGCUACCACAUCCAAGGAUGGCAGCAGGCGCGCAAAUUACCCAAUCCCGACACGGGGAGGUAGUGACAAUAAAUAACAAUACGGGGUUCUUUAGGAUCUCGUAAUUGGAAUGAGUACAAUUUAAAUCUCUUAACGAGGAACAAUUGGAGGGCAAGUCUGGUGCCAGCAGCCGCGGUAAUUCCAGCUCCAAUAGCGUAUAUUAAAGUUGUUGCAGUUAAAAAGCUCGUAGUUGAAUUUCGGGGUUAGUAGGUUGGUCAUGCCUCUGGUAUGUACUGGUCUCACUGAUUCCUCCUUCCUGAUGAACNGUAAUGCCAUUAAUUUGGUGUUGCGGGGAAUUUGGACUGUUACUUUGAAAAAAUUAGAGUGUUUAAAGCA
rnacentral:rRNA from 1 species